CAGCAGCCACGGGAAUACGUAGGGCGCAAGCGUUGUCCGGAAUUAUUGGGCGUAAAGAGCUCGUAGGCGGUCUGUCGCGUCUGGUGUGAAAUCCCGAGGCUCAACCUCGGGCUUGCAUCGGGUACGGGCAGACUAGAGUGCGGUAGGGGAGACUGGAAUUCCUGGUGUAGCGGUGGAAUGCGCAGAUAUCAGGAGGAACACCGAUGGCGAAGGCAGGUCUCUGGGCCGCAACUGACGCUGAGGAGCGAAAGCAUGGGGAGCGAACAGGAUUAGAGACCCCCGUAGUCCCUGUCUCUUAUAA
rnacentral:rRNA from 1 species